ACAAAAAAAAAAAGCAAUGCAGUAGUGGUGGGUUCGAUUUCCGGCAAAACAAUUACUGUUUCAGUCUGAAAGGAAGCACCAUAUGGAAGGUGCCGCAUAUAUGAAACACGAAGAAAUACAAUAAUACAUAACUUUAAUCCUUCACAGUUCAAUUCACUUUUUCAAAGUGACUUUUUGUCAUAUUGUCUACGUCUAGAAUAAUGACAGAAUUUUCACCUUAAAAGCUAUUAAAGAUUUUUGAAGAAGUCUCUUUGUAGAACUAUUUUGGAUUUAAUACGAGGAGUAGUUUACUUAGUGAUACAAAAGCACCUCUUCAAGUGUACCGGAACGGGCUUUAUAAUUCAAGAAACAAAAUACAAUUAGGCGAGCAGAAGAUCCCCUAACAAAAUAAUUCCGACAUCUGAUAAAUAUUCAUGAAGAUGCAAUGUCCCUGGAGAGUCUAAUUAAGGAUUUUGUGGGGGCUAGCGGACUUAAUGUAUGUGAUCUUUAGGGCAACAAUCAAAGACAGUAUUAAAAAUGAUAGCACCAUU